CGUAGGUGAACCUGCGGAGGGAUCAUUACCGAGUUAUACAACUCAUCAACCCUGUGAACAUACCUAAAACGUUGCUUCGGCGGGAACAGACGGCCCUGUAACAACGGGCCGCCCCCGCCAGAGGACCCCUAACUCUGUUUUUAUAAUGUUUUUCUGAGUAAACAAGCAAAUAAAUUAAAACUUUCAACAACGGAUCUCUUGGCUCUGGCAUCGAUGAAGAACGCAGCGAAAUGCGAUAAGUAAUGUGAAUUGCAGAAUUCAGUGAAUCAUCGAAUCUUUGAACGCACAUUGCGCCCGCCAGUAUUCUGGCGGGCAUGCCUGUUCGAGCGUCAUUACAACCCUCAGGCCCCCGGGCCUGGCGUUGGGGAUCGGCGGAAGCCCCCUGUGGGCACACGCCGUCCCUCAAAUACAGUGGCGGUCCCGCCGCAGCUUCCAUUGCGUAGUAGCUAACACCUCGCAACUGGAGAGCGGCGCGGCCAUGCCGUAAAACACCCAACUUCUGAAUGUUGACCUCGAAUCAGGUAGGAAUACCCGCUGAACUUAAGCAUAUCAAUAAGCGGAG
rnacentral:rRNA from 1 species